UGUGCUCAGUUAGAAGUCCUCAUCCAGGGCA
rnacentral:piRNA from 1 species